UAGCUAGUUGGUGAGGUAAAGGCUUACCAAGGCGACGAUCUGUAGCGGGUCUGAGAGGAUGAUCCGCCACACUGGAACUGAGACACGGUCCAGACUCCUACGGGAGGCAGCAGUGGGGAAUUUUGGACAAUGGGGGCAACCCUGAUCCAGCCAUGCCGCGUGAGUGAAGAAGGCCUUCGGGUUGUAAAGCUCUUUCGGCCGGGAAGAAAUCGCAUGGGCCAAUACCCUGUGUGGAUGACGGUACCGGAAUAAGAAGCACCGGCUAACUACGUGCCAGCAGCCGCGGUAAUACGUAGGGUGCGAGCGUUAAUCGGAAUUACUGGGCGUAAAGCGUGCGCAGGCGGUUUUGUAAGACAGGCGGGAGAUCCCCGGGCUUAACCUGGGAACUGCGUUUGUGACUGCAAGGCUAGAGUACGGCAGAGGGGGGUGGAAUUCCACGUGUAGCAGUGAAAUGCGUAGAGAUGUGGAGGAACACCAAUGGCGAAGGCAGCCCCCUGGGUCGAUACUGACGCUCAUGCACGAAAGCGUGGGUAGCAAACAGGAUUAGAUACCCUGGUAGUCCACGCCCUAAACUAUGUCAACUAGGUGUUGGGUGGGUAAAACCAUUUAGUACCGUAGCUAACGCGUGAAGUUGACCGCCUGGGGAGUACGGCCGCAAGGUUAAAACUCAAAGGAAUUGACGGGGACCCGCACAAGCGGUGGAUGAUGUGGAUUAAUUCGAUGCAACGCGAAAAACCUUACCUACCCUUGACAUGCCAGGAACUUGCCAGAGAUGGCUUGGUGCCCGAAAGGGAGCCUGGACACAGGUGCUGCAUGGCUGUCGUCAGCUCGUGUCAUGAGAUGUUGGGUUAAGUCCCGCAACGAGCGCAACCCUUGUCGUUAAUUGCCAUCAUUUAGUUGGGCACUUUAACGAGACUGCCGGUGACAAACCGGAGGAAGGUGGGGAUGACGUCAAGUCCUCAUGGCCCUUAUGGGUAGGGCUUCACACGUCAUACAAUGGUCGGUACAAAGGGUUGCCAAGCCGCGAGGCGGAGCCAAUCCCAGAAAGCCGAUCAUAGUCCGGAUUGCAGGCUGCAACUCGCCUGCAUGAAGUCGGAAUCGCUAGUAAUCGUGGAUCAGCAUGUCACGGUGAAUACGUUCCCGGGUCUUGUACACACCGCCCGUCACACCAUGGGAGCGGGUUCCGCCAGAAGUAGGUAGCCUAACCGCAAGGGGGGCGCUUACCACGGCGGGGUUCGUGACUGGGGUGAAGUCGUAACAAGGUAGCCGUAGGGGCCUGCGGCUG
rnacentral:rRNA from 1 species